AACGAACGCUGGCGGCGUAGCUUAACACAUGCAAGUCGAACGCGAAAGGGACUUCGGUCCUGAGUAAAGUGGCGCACGGGUGAGUAACGCGUAGAUAACCUGUCUUCAUGUCUGGAAUAAUACGCCGAAAGGGGUACUAAUACCGGAUAUUCUUGCUUUUUCAUAAGUUAUGCAAGCAAAGGUGGCCUCUGCAUAUGCUACUGGCAUGAAGAGGGGUCUGCGUACCAUUAGCUAGUAGGUGGGGUAAUGGCCUACCUAGGCGACGAUGGUUAGCGGGUCUGAGAGGAUGAUCCGCCACACUGGCACUGGAACACGGGCCAGACUCCUACGGGAGGCAGCAGUGAGGAAUAUUGCGCAAUGGGGGAAACCCUGACGCAGCGACGCCGCGUGAGUGAAGGAAGGCCUUCGGGUCGUAAAGCUCUGUCAAGAGGAAAGAAGUGUACAAUGGCUAAUACCUGUUGUAUUUGACGGUACCUCUAAAGGAAGCACCGGCUAACUCCGUGCCAGCAGCGGC
rnacentral:rRNA from 1 species